UACGGAGGGGGCUAGCGUUGUUCGGAAUUACUGGGCGUAAAGCGCGCGUAGGCGGCUUUGCAAGUCGGGUGUGAAAUCCCCAGGCCUAACCUGGGAACUGCAUUCGAGACUGCAUGGCUAGAGUAUCGGAGAGGGAAGUGGAAUUUCAGGUGUAGCGGUGAAAUGCGUAGAUAUCUGAAGGAACAUCAGUGGCGAAAGCGACUUCCUGGACGAAUACUGACGCUCAUGUGCGAAAGCGUGGGGAGCAAACAGG
rnacentral:rRNA from 1 species